GUCACUUUGCCGGAGUGGUUAACGGGAUCGCCUGCUAUUCAUCAACGUCCGUGAGAUUGAAUUGGCAUCUAGCGGUUGCUCUUUGAGCGCGUGUGUUCGAAUCGCACAGGUGACG